rnacentral:piRNA from 1 species
GAGGAAAAAGAAAAGGAAGGGAG